CCUACGGGAGGCUGCAGUGGGGAAUAUUGCACAAUGGGGGAAACCCUGAUGCAGCGACGCCGCGUGUGUGAAGAAGUACUUCGGUAUGUAAAGCUCUAUCAGCAGGGAAGAAAAUGACGGUAACUGACUAAGAAGCCGCUGCUAAAUACGUGCCAGCAGCCGCGGUAAUACGUAGGGGGAACGCGUUCUCCGGAUAUACUGGGUGUAAAGGGAGCGUAGAUGGCAGAGCAAGUAUGAAGUGAAAGCCCGCGGCCCAACUGCGGGACUGCAUUCAAAACUGCACGGCUAGAGUGCUGGAGAGGGGAGCGGAAUUCCUAGUGUAGCGGUGAAAUGCGUAGAUAUUAGGAGGAACACCAGUGGCGAAGGCGGCUUACUGGGCAGUAACUGACGUUGAGGCUCGAAAGCGUGGGGAGCAAACAGGAUUAGAUACCCUUGUAGUC
rnacentral:rRNA from 1 species